rnacentral:misc_RNA from 1 species
UCUCCGUUGGUGAACCAGCGGAGGGAUCAUUACUGGAAUCGCAAGAUCCCACAACCCUGUGAACCUACCGACACGUUACCUCGGCGGGUGCCUAGCCCCCGCGCCGGGCGCUGCUCCCGCCGGCGGCCCCCUACUCUGUCUCUGCAGCGUGGCAUCUCAGAGUCCCAGAAAACAAGUCAAAACUUUCAACAACGGAUCUCUUGGCUCUA